AAUCCAUAUUGUAGGCAUUGGCAGAGUAAACCCUUGUAUUGUUCCCAAGCCUCUAUUUUUAUCAUUCUGUGUCCAGUUGUUGGAUAAUAGUAAUCUCAUCUCUUAGCUU
rnacentral:snoRNA from 1 species